ACAGUACAAACUGAUCAGGCCGUAAUUUUAUGGAGCCGGGCCGAAGGGCAACAGGGAAACGAUACCUGUGGGACAGUA
rnacentral:ncRNA from 1 species